rnacentral:rRNA from 1 species
UGGGGAAUUUUACGCAAUGGGGGAAACCCUGACGUAGCGACACCGCGUGAGCGAAGAAGCCCUUUGGCGUGUAAAGCUCUGUCAGCAGGAACGAAUAAAAUGACGGUACCUGCAGAGGAAGCAUCGGCUAACUACGUGCCAGCAGCCGCGGUAAGACGUAGGAUGCAAGCGUUGUCCGGAUUUAUUGGGCGUAAAGAGUUCGUAGGCGGUUUGUUAAGUUUGAUGCUAAAGAUCGGGGCCUAACCCUGGGAGUGCAUUGAAUACUGGCAGACUGGAGUGCAGUAGAGGCGAGUGGAAUUCCCAGUGUAGCGGUGAAAUGCGUAGAUAUUGGGAAGAACACCGGUGGCGCAGGCGACUCGCUGGGCUGUAACUGACGCUGAGGAACGAAAGCUAGGGGAGCAAAUGGGAUUAGAUACCCCAGUAGUCCUAGCUGUAAACGAUGGAUACUAGGCGUUGCAGGUAUCGACCCCUGCAGUGCCGCAGUUAACGCGAUAAGUAUCCCGCCUGAGUAGUACGGCCGCAAGGUUG